CAGCGCCGCGGGAAAACGUAGGUGGCAAGCGUUGUCCGGAAUUAUUGGGCGUAAAGGGCUCGCAGGCGGUUUCUUAAGUCUGAUGUGAAAGCCCCCGGCUCAACCGGGGAGGGUCAUUGGAAACUGGGAAACUUGAGUGCAGAAGAGGAGAGUGGAAUUCCACGUGUAGCGGUGAAAUGCGUAGAGAUGUGGAGGAACACCAGUGGCGAAGGCGACUCUCUGGUCUGUAACUGACGCUGAGGAGCGAAAGCGUGGGGAGCGAACAGGAUUAGAUACCCGCGUAGUCCCUGUCUCUUAUACA
rnacentral:rRNA from 1 species